rnacentral:piRNA from 1 species
UAGCCGUCUGAAUCCGAAAUGCUGUCUGAGC